UUUUUUUAGGUAAAAAGCCACUAAAGUUUUCAUGAAGACGUCAUGUCACACUCCCCAGAUUAUAAUGGUUUGAAUAAGCAAGAUAAUAACGCACAAAUCAAUCUAUUCUCCUGCAAGCACAGGUUCAUAAUUCUGUUCAAUGACUUGGGUUCAGCCAUGUUCCAAACUCACCUCAACUUACAUGAAUCAGUCAGGUAUCCAUGGUUCUGUUCUCUACCAAAAUCACUAUCCAUAAAGUUACAACCCAGGCAGUAGCACAAGAAUUUGUAACAGAACAUGUGCUGAUUGGGUUUCAGGCCUGAGAACUAAAAUUGCUACACACUGAAUCAAAAGAGGGGGCAUCAACAUACACACUGCUUCACUACAAAAAUGUGACAUGAGGUAUCCAUGGUUCUGUUCUCUACCAAAAUCACUAUCCAUAAAGUUACAACCCAGGCAGUAGCACAAGAAUUUGUAACAGAACAUGUGCUGAUUGGGUUUCAGGCCUGAGAACUAAAAUUGCUACACACUGAAUCAAAAGAGGGGGCAUC
rnacentral:lncRNA from 1 species